AUCUUUUUAGUAUAAUAAAAUAAUAUAUUUGACUUCCAAUCAAAAGAUCUUAUAAAAGAAAAGAUA
rnacentral:tRNA from 1 species